CCUACGGGAGGCAGCAGUAGGGAAUAUUGCUCAAUGGGGGAAACCCUGAAGCAGCAACGCCGCGUGGAGGAUGAAGGUUUUCGGAUUGUAAACUUCUUUUGUUAGAGAAGAUAAUGACGGUAUCUAACGAAUAAGCACCGGCUCACUCCGUGCCAGCAGCCCCGGUAAUACGGAGGGUGCAAGCGUUACUCGGAAUCACUGGGCGUAAAGAGCGCGUAGGCGGGAUAGCAAGUCAGAUGUGAAAUCCUAUGGCUUAACCAUAGAACUGCAUUUGAAACUGUUAUUCUAGAGUAUGGGAGAGGUAGGUGGAAUUCUUGGUGUAGGGGUGAAAUGCGUAGAGAUCAAGAGGAAUACUCAUUGCGAAGGCGACCUGCUAGAACAUAACUGACGCUGAUGCGCGAAAGCGUGGGGAGCAAACAGUAUUAGAUACCCCAGUAGUC
rnacentral:rRNA from 1 species